GCGUGAAAGCGGUGCAGGUUCUGGCGAUACAGAAGAAGAGCAUGGAGGCCUCGGAAUACCUGCAGAGCGUGGUCUACAUAGACCUGUGUCAGUUAUACAACUAAAAGUCCAUCAGCUCAGCCUCAACUGUACAUGACAGGAGGGUUCCAGAGAAUGUCAGCAGGCCCAUUGUGAUGUCAUCAGCCCAUUGUGAUGUCAUCGGCCCAUGCCCUGUGGCUAUAUAAUCUCUCAUCCAGGCAGUUUACUGCCAUUCCAUCUUGGAAGCUUCAACAGAAGAUCUCGAGUUACCAAUUUGCCUACAAUUUCUUACAACUCAAUGGCACCCCGCACACCAAAGAAGCCCGCAGGCCGCAAACGGAGAAGAAGAUCCACCAUGCGCCGCAGACAGAAACGCCAGGCUGCCGUGGCAGAGGAAACCCUGGUGGAAUACCUGCGCCGGGCAUAUAAGAUGCUGCCCGCAUACCAGGCACAACAAAAACAGUAGCCUGCAGACUGUAUGGCCUCAGGGGCUAGCCCAGCUGGUGGCCCACUAAUACCUGGUCACCAUGGAGGCCUUGUGGUGGUACAUUAGAUUAGGCUAAGAGUAGUCAGGGGGAAAAAAAAGUAACAUCAAAAAAAAUAAUUAACAUCAAAAAGAAAAAAAAAACAACUCUGCUAAAAAAACAACAAAAAGUGUUAGUGGUAAUUGUAGCUAGAAGCUUCUUUUUUUUUUUCAUUAAUGU